rnacentral:lncRNA from 14 species
GUAGUUUGCUCUGCUGUUCACCUGACUGCCGGUCUCCUGUCUCCAGGAGUUUACAUGCUGGCAAGGUUGAUCCAGCCUUGGGAAUGAAAGACGGUGGAUGGCAGCAGCGGACUCUUAUGGAGAGGCUCCAGCUCAAGUGCUUGGCCCCAGGCUGGUGGAUGCUCCUGCAGAGCAUGGAUUCAUUUGCUAGCUCCAGUCACCGUACUGCACCCUCCAUGUCCACACUUCCAGAGAAACCAAGUCUGGUUUGUCCAGCCCCAAGUCCAAGCCAUGCAUUUCCAAACCAGUGUCUGUCCUACAUGAUCAUCCAGUUUUCCAAGACGAUACUGAUGAACUCAUAA